rnacentral:rRNA from 1 species
GACGAACCGUGCAAACGUUAUUCGGAAUCACUGGGCUUAAAGGGCGCGUAGGCGGGUCCUCAAGUCAGGGGUGAAAUCCCACGGCUCAACCGUGGAAGUGCCUUUGAUACUGGGGGUCUCGAGGGAGGUAGGGGCGUGCGGAACUUCCGGUGGAGCGGUGAAAUGCGUAGAUAUCGGAAGGAACACCGGUGGCGAAAGCGGCGCGCUGGACCUCUUCUGACGCUGAGGCGCGAAAGCCAGGGGAGCAAACGGGAUUAGAUACCCCGGUAGUCCUGGCCCUAAACGUUGGGCACUGGGUAGUGGGCUUACAUGGGCUCACUGCCGAAGCAAAAGUGUUAAGUGCCCCGCCUGGGGAGUAUGGUCGCAAGGCUGAA